CCAAGGAGUCUAACAUGUGCGCAAGUCAUUGGGUAUAUUUAUACAAAUUUUAAACCCAAAGGCAUAAUUAACUUAACUUAUAUAAUGGGAUUAUAUAUAUAAAUAUUAUUAUUUAUAUAUUCCAUCCCGGGGCGUUCUAUAUAGUUAUGCAUUUUAAUAUAUUUUUAAUAUAUUAUAUAUGCCUCUAACUGGAGCGUACCUUGAGCAUAUAUGUUGUGACCCGAAAGAUGGUGAACUAUACCUGAUCAGGUUGAAGUCAGGGGAAACCCUGAUGGAAGACCGAAACAGUUCUGACGUGCAAAUCGAUUGUCAGAAUUGGGUAUAGGGGCGAAAGACCGAUCGAACUAUCUAGUAGCUGGUUCCCUCCGAAGUUUCCCUCAGGAUAGCUGGUGCAAUUAGAUAUUAUUUAAAAUAAUCUUAUCUGGUAAAGCGAAUGAUUAGAGGCCUUAGGGCCGAAACGACCUUAACCUAUUCUCAAACUUUAAAUGGGUAAGAACCUAACCUUUCUUGAUAUGAAGGUAUAUAGGUUAUGAUAUAUUGUGCCCAGUGGGCCACUUUUGGU
rnacentral:rRNA from 1 species